UCUCUGUUUUGUGCAUGCUAGGUGAGCAUCAUGAACUGUUAUACUUGCCUUACGAGUAUUUUUCCUUCAAUCAGAUUCUCACUUAUAUUUCUGUGAAUAAAUAAAUCUUUUCAUUUUCUUGUUGGGAAAAAAGUCCCUGUAAUCCUUCCCGCCACAGCCUAAUGUGGGCUGCAUGCCUUAGCAUGUGCCUGAUCCUUACAGAGUUUGAGGGCAGCUACUAGACUUCAUGAUUUGGCAAAUAUAUAUUUAAGGGUGAAUAAGGACAUUUAAUCAUUUCAUAUACCAUGAACAUCAUAAAAAACAGAUUGAGCAUGUGGAGAUAUUUAAGUGUGCAUAUUUGAUACAUUUUCCUUUUGUUGAUCAUUUGCUUCAUGCUUGUUCUGCGGAUUGGAGUUUGUUCUCAAAGAAGGAGACACUGAUCGCUAGCGAAACAUAUGACCAAGAGUCCCCAGGACCUACAUCAUCGACUAAUAACCAGCCUCAAACACCUGCCCAGAAGACCUUGAGUGGGGGUGGAGGCUGGAUUGUGAGCCAGAUGCCCCAUCAACAGGGGCGGUAAAGGAGAAGAAGAUAGUUGUUUAACGGUGCAUGUGGGAAUGCCCUACAGACUGAUGAACAUGAAUCAUAGGAACCACCAAAGCAUGAAGGGAACAACCAGUAUGGAUUGGGAACAACAAGAUGAACUGGCUUUUGUUGGCACUCUUGCAUACAUUGAAGAUUU